rnacentral:rRNA from 1 species
AUUGAACGCUGGCGGCAUGCCUUACACAUGCAAGUCGAACGGUAACAGGUCUUCGGAUGCUGACGAGUGGCGAACGGGUGAGUAAUGCGUCGGAACGUGCCGAGUAGUGGGGGAUAACGCAUCGAAAGGUGUGCUAAUACCGCAUGAGAUCUACGGAUGAAAGCAGGGGAUCGCAAGACCUUGUGCUACUAGAGCGGCCGAUGGCAGAUUAGGUAGUUGGUGGGAUAAAAGCUUACCAAGCCGACGAUCUGUAGCUGGUCUGAGAGGACGAUCAGCCACACUGGGACUGAGACACGGCCCAGACUCCUACGGGAAGCAGCAGUGGGGAAUUUUGGACAAUGGGCGAAAGCCUGAUCCAGCAAUGCCGCGUGCAGGAUGAAGGCCUUCGGGUUGUAAACUGCUUUUGUACGGAACGAAAAGCCCCGGGUUAAUACCCUGGGGUCAUGACGGUACCGUAAGAAUAAGCACCGGCUAACUACGUGCCAGCCGCCGCCGUAAAAC